rnacentral:lncRNA from 1 species
CGCCACCGCCUCCCGUGCUUUGCAGACGGCCCCUCAGGCCGUGAUUCCGACACGGCCCGACAGCGCCUCAGGGGGCGACGCGGUGCCCGGGCCUGAGAGCGCCACAGCGGGCCCGGCCCCCGGAAUUACCAAGCAUGGCACUCAGUACAACAGUCAACUGAAGGAAAUGGUCUCCAGCUGUGGGAGUCUCCUGUGAGAAGUCAAUGACUUGGCAAAACUGUCACAUCAGCAAGGACAAUGAAGGAUUGCUUUCAGCAGUGGAACUGAUAGGUUGCUCAUCUGCAUAAUUAAGGG